rnacentral:ncRNA from 2 species
UGUGAAGCAGAAUUCACC